GGUAUGAUAGUGAGAGGGGCUGAGACGGUAGCAGAAGAGCCAGAGCCAGAGAAGGAGCAACUGUCUUCAUUCUGGGGCAGACGCAGAGAGAAGGUGGCAGCUCAGCCUCCGCUGUCCUGAAGUCAAGCCCAUCCACUACGAGAUCACAAGAACACGAUGCACCAAAUGUGUUUCCUUUGACUGAACCUGAAGAGACUGGCUGCCCAGAACACACAGCCUCCUUCGACGAGUCGAUGCGCAGACCGGUGGCAGCUGGAGCCGAAGACUCAACGUCCAACGAUCAAAAUCAAGUGUUUUCACCAAACAUGCUGCAGCAAAAAAACAGGGAAAGUACAGUACGGUGCAGAGAGGUGUUGCCUCAUUUCUUCAAAUUUUGGUUUUAAGGAGCAAGGUUUUUUUAUGAACUUUUUAAGUUGGUCUUGAUCAACAACGUUUUUUACUUUAGCUACUUGUUUUUCACUAAUCUUAGGUCCAGAUCCUGGUAAUUUCCAGCAGAAUUUUUUUGUUUGUUGAGCGACAUUUCCCUUUGGACCCCAAAAACAUGCAAAUUUCAUUGGCUUCUUAAUUGAAACCCAUUUUAAAAACUGUGAAAAGUUUUCUCUUUGAGGUCCAGAGUGCAUAACUGAGGGUUAAUUUGUGACAAAAAUAGAUGAAAACCUAUCAGUUAUUACAAAACAAAGAAGAAAGCUCAUUAUGGGUAUAAAGUAGAAAAGUUUAAAGUUGCACAGUUUACUAAAGGUUAAUUUGGAAAUAACCAAGGAUCAAAUCAGUAAAACACCUAAUUAAUGAAUUUAGUAAUUUGCAUUUUAAUUGAAAAUGUGUAUCUCAUAUCAACAUGCCACCAACAUGUCAUAAGCACAGUGAUUUAUUGCAUCAAUAUGACUAGUGCAGUCACGCAAGUGGCAUUUAUUGACAGAGUUGAAGAAAACCUUUAUUAAAGUAGGCACCAGAUUUAGCCAUCAAAAUUACUGAUCUAUAAAAUAUUUGGUAAUGAGUUUAAAAUGCAUUUCAUAGACUGUUUGAGCUUCUGAAUAUAUACUUGACUUUAUUGAGAUUUUUUGUUUUAUCGCUUUAAUUUGUUUACCAUUCCAUUUCCUCUUAAAAAUCUACCGAACUUCUUAACUGAAGAUCACAAACACCAAGCAGAUUUAUCUAAAAUGUUACAUAUCUUAUAGCCUUUAUCUUCAGCUGCAGUCUUUGUGCUCUGCAUAGCAAGCCCCAUUCUUACUGAAGUCUGAUUAGUAAGAUUUAAUCUUUUAGCUCAUUCUCAAUGCUUUAUCUCAUGAGGUCGUUCAUUGGUGCGUCAGCUCUCCUCCACCUCCCUACCCUCAGUGCACCUAUGUUGCAUAAUUAAACUUGAAUUAGAUCAUUAGCAUACAAAGCAGGAAACCUACCGCCGUGGAGUCAUACAUAUUUAUCUGGAUGUGCCUGACUUAUGCAUGCAAACCCUCAUACUGUAACCCCUUUUGCAUGCAAACACGCCUGUUUCUCUUGUGCAGGAAACAAGCAAGCGCAGACUAUAGUGGAUAUUAACCAUAGGAUGUUGGUUUUAAGAAGCAUACAUUUAUCUGUCAAUCCAUCCGAGUGAGUACAAGGUUUUCAUCCAAGCAAGCUAUUCAAAACGUUUGACUGUAGAGAAUGUGUGCAUUUGGAUAUGGAGCAGAUGGAUUUUAAUGAGGAUCAUUUGGGCAGGUUGCUUUCAGCGCAUCAGAUAUUGCUUGCACACAGAGGAACGUUCUGAAACGAAUAAUGCCCGCAGUCCAAACUCAUCUGCUGCACAUUAACAAACAGAAAAGACAAACAAAGAACACGACCUUCUGAAUAAUCAUGUGUUGCCUCAUGAAUGACUCCUUUUCUCUCUCCUUUCCCCCUCCAUCCUUUCCACCAGAAAUGAACUUUCUCCUUAACCACCCGCCCUACUUCCUGGGGAUCACUUUCCAGCCUUCUUUUUCCUUCCAGCUGGGAGAACAACUCCCUCCUUUUGCAGCUACGUGGACUCCUCCAUUAGUAUUCCUUCCUCCUUCCCACUUUUCCCUUCCUCCUGUGAGAUUGCUGUUGUGUCUUAUGGCUUUUUAUUCCUACGUGAUGUUAGAUGGGUUCAUGUAGGAGUAGAAGCCACUAAACACGCGGUGAGUGCUCGACAUGCUGGCCAACACAUGCAGAGAGCUUCCUGUGGAUAUGACAGCUGCCAUGUUCACAUCAAUGUCCUGCCCAUUAUCCUGAAUGCACACAGGGUUUAAAUAUAGUUCAGGGAGAUUUGGACCAGAUUCACAGUCUGGUCCAAAUUGGAAUGAAACUAUAGAUUUGUAAUGUUUUUCAGCCUCUUUCAGCUAAAAAAGCAAUCCCCGGAGUAGAGCAGCCUUAACAGACCUCCUUUCCCCAGCUGCAUGCUGGCUGCUUGUCUCGAAUUCGAAAUUAAUUUCUUUAUUUCCCGGCCCUGCAGUCUUUGAUCAAAACUGCAGCUGGAAGGAUCUCAAAACCACUAGCGAGAUAAAUUGACUCACUCAGGUAGGUCAUUCAAUACUGUCUGAAUCUAUUUGCUGUUCCCCUGUGAAGUUGAGAUGAAACAUGUUGGGUCACAGAAACAGGCUGCUUUACAUCCCUCUGUUUACCAGUGAUAAAAGCUUUACACAUUGUCUGUAGCACUACAUAAUACAGUCUAUACUUUGACAGAACUUCAAAGUCUUUACACAAACGUUGACAUUACCUUCCAGGAACCUAACAGGUACUUUCCCAGAAUUUACGAGGUACUUCUCUGUCUUACCGAGUGCUUUUCUGAAGCUUGGAGGUUAACUAUUCAGGUGCAUACUAGGAACUUUCUUGGAACCUACUGGUACUUGGCUUCACAAAGGUUCUUUGAAAGUGGGCGGUAAGUUCGAGAAAGUAAUUGAUAAUUGCCAGAACGUUGUCUCUAAGUUCUGGGAAGGGUAACUGGUAAGUUAUAUCGAAGUUCCAGGAAAGUAUCUAGGAAAAAGUUCUGGGAAAGUGCAACCUGUUAUGUAGAGCUAUCAGAUUGUCAAAUCAUUACUUUAGAAGUCGUUUAAAGAACUUAACGUCUGUAACUUUAGAGUUCUUCAACAGAACACCAUGGAUGUGAUUGGUUUUUUUUAACCCUGAUUUUUAUGCUUUUGUAUCAUAUAGACAGACAGUGGACUGUUUUUUACAUCCUUUUUACAUCCUAUAUUUCUCACAUAAUAUAGUGAAAGCAACGCGACAACAUGCUCCAAUAUGAAUUAUCUUUUUCGAAAAGGAUCAUCAUGUCAAAUAUUUCAUCAUAUCAAUCGUAGACUUGUCAAUUGAAUUGAAAUGGUUUAGUAACAGACUUUUUGAUACCAGCAAACAUUGUAUCAUCAUCCAAACAACUCUAUAUAACGACGUAUCAUGAUACCUGAUGAGCUACACCUCUACAUGUUACACAACCGUGCAUAAGUUUAAAAACAAACUUCUUUGUUAUAAAAAGUAUCAAGUUUGCUUACAGUCAGAUUCAAUUAGAAUAUUAAGUCAAUUUGUAUCAGUAACCUAAUUAACUAAGGUAAACACGUUAUAUUGAUUAAUUACUCACAGACUGUUUUAAGGCCCUUAUUUCUGUCAUUAACGAUGAUUUUUCUUUGUGCCUAUAUAUCAUAACAGCACAAUUAAGUUUAGAAAACUACAUCAAAUGGAAAAAGAAGUACAUUUUUCAUAUAGAAUGUGGACUCAAUUAAAGGUAUUUUAAUACUAGCUUAAAGAUGGUUGUUUUCAGAAAGGAACUUUGUAAUCUGACAAAUUGGCCUCAUUGGAAUGUAUACUCAAAUUUAUUAAAUUACUAUAGUUUUAGAUGACUCAGAUCCCUCAAAAUUAGCUGACUAGUCAUUGACUUAUCUAGGCAUAUUAAAUGAUUAUCAUCCCUGCUCUCUCUGAAGUCUGAACAGUAACAUUUCUAGUUGCUCCAUUACUAAAUCUACCUUAUGUCUUAAUUUUCUUUUAGAAAUUGGCUACAUCAAUCAUGCCUCAACCAUUUUGAUACUGAUUGAGGCUAAAAUGCGUUCAAGUCUGAUAGGCAGACCAGAUUUAAGAAUAAUUUAAGUGCUACCUGGAUAGCAAAACAGGUGUUUUAAACAUACAUAGGGUGGUUCAUUUGGAAUAAUUUUGGGUGGGACCAAAAAACUCAGUCACGUUCUGAGGGCGUUAUUUGAAAAAAGGUUGCAGGUCUAAAGAGAUGUGCUUAAAAUGCACUAGGAGACCAACUCUGGCAGUUUUUAGACUUUGAUAGGGCCACAGUCUAAUGCGAUGGAUUUCACCGUACAUCACAUUAACUUGUUGAGUAUUUUAGACAUUUCAGUCAAAGUGGAAGAAGUUAGUCACUGUAGUAACCUUGAAAAUCCAGGUUUUGAAUAUUUCCAACAAGCCCUCCUGAUAAGUUUCUCAAUGCCUUUAAAACUUCAAGACAGGAAACUAACUCGGAGCAACCCCUUUCAUUUUCCUCCCUAAAUUAUGUACAAAUUCUGGCACCCUAAUAAUGGCACGGCAGUAUUUUUCCCCUGAGCUGAACUCGGUGUCAACUAAUUAAGCAAGAAACUGAAAUUAUCCUGCUGGUGGGUCUGUUCGUGUGCUGCGGGGUUUGGGUUUAAAUGUCAACUCUCUGUUUGUAUUUUCUGUGAAACACGCUGCCAGCCUGCUCGCCUUACACACAAGCUGAAUAAAGUCUAAACAGGCAGAAGCCAAGAGCUGAAUUAUUAAUCCCUGGAUAUUACAAGAAGCUGACACAUGUUUGCAGUUGUGGGACAUUGCUUCUUCGCUGAUAUGAGAUGCAUAAUAAUUUGAGAUGAAAACCAGAUAAGUUCUGCCUAAGUUUAAUGAUUAAUUUUAAAGCUGUAAGAUGUUGUGAUCUAAAAUUCAAAGGGGUGGGUUGACAAGUUUCUGUUGCUUGCAUUAUCUGUUUAAUUUAUUUUUCAGGUUCCCACUCCCACAUAGGCUUUUUUCUGCCUUAUUGAGUCGUGAGGGGGUCUGAGAGAAUAUUUGAACAGAAGGAAGACAUUAAAGAAGGCAGAGGAAGGCUUCGAUUUUUUAAACCUGUGGGGGUCCAUGGGAAUCUAAAGGUGGGAAUCCACAGUGAUGGAGUCUAUGGGAAAGAGCCUGCAUUAUUUACAGCGGCACAGGCUCAUAAAGAGAACGACGUGUUUGAAUAGAUUGCUGCUGUCUUUUUGUCUUGCCCAGGGGUUUGUUCCACAGUCAUGAUCCAACCAGACUGCAAACCUCGCAUUCAAAUGUCAAAACGAUAAGACAGACAGCACUUGGGCUCAUUUUAAUAUUGAUAGCUGCUCAUUUUUUCCAAAUUAUGACUUUCAUGACAUUACGGCUCUUGAUCAGAUUCUGCAAGGUCGCUGAAUCCUCAACGUCAGGUGGAAAUCAUCAACUCUGGUGUAGUGGGAAUUCCUCUGACAGAUGCAAUAAUGUGGUGUGUUUGUGUACAGUAGGUUUAAUGUAUGAGUGUUGUUCUACUUUAUCUCCAGCAUGCUUCAGGCUCUGCUUUGAUUUUCCUGUAAUAAAUAAUGCUCUUUUGUCUUCUGUGCUGCAUUUGUUCCCAGUUGUAAUCUUUCUACUUCUCAAUAAAUUAUGAAUAAUGCAAGUUCAA